UUUUUUUUUUUUUUGCUAGCUGGAACUGAAGCUGGUCUUGAGCCGGCCAGGGCUGCGGUUUCCAUCUUGAGCUGGUGUCCCUUGAAACUUCUCCAAGUGUCCGCACGACUUACCUUUCCCUGACUUCCCUGUCCACACCCGGUUGCCCACCGCAAAACGAGCUGGGCGAGGAGUUUAGGAAUUCAGAACACCCCAAAAUGCUCGAAUCAAGAGUCUUAUGUUUGUUUCCCACCCGUGUACGGAGGAGUAGGGGCGACCAGGAAAACUUUUUUUUCCUCGGAGAGAGCCUGGCCUGGCGGGGGCGAGCGCAGCAAGACUUAGCGCGCAGCGCGCGUGUUCACGCGUGCUGGGCCGGCAGCCGCACUCUCCCGAUAGGGUAAGGGGCACUGCUCAAAAGACCGCUGCCCGGGCAGACCUCGUUUAAACUUACUACAGAAAAACCCAGACUUUCAUGGGCGCCUCUUCCUCCGGCUCACAAAAAUAAAAGAGCAACCAGUCACUUUCCACGCGCGCUUUGAAUCUGGGCUACCUCCUCCACACGUCCCCGAAUGUUAAAAACAAGAAAAAAAAAGUUCCUUGGUAAGAAGGAAGGUAGAGGUGGGGGAAGCGACACUCGUAACUUCUUGCUGCUCUCCCGCCCCCACGCGAACGGAACAUAUGGCUUGUCACUCUGCCCUGUUUGCGGGUGCCAAGCAAUGGGACCCACGGAACCCAGGGCCUUCAAUGAUUAUUCCGCCCUUAAAAACCGCGAGCUAUGUGUUUAUUUACUACUAGGUUUGGCUGCCUCCCGCCCGCACUCGCUCGCGUGCUGGAGUGGGGACCCGGGCGGAAAUCGCGGGCCGCGCCGCCGGGUUCCUCGCACGUUUCUUCCCAGCACUCGAGGCCGCCGGCUCUCUUAUGAAACCCGGUGCGCCGAGAGGCUACGAGCGAGUUCCAUUGCGAUGUAAUUAGGUCACCCCAUUACGAGGACGUUUCUCUGGAAAGGACGGAGCAGGCAGAGCAGAGCGUUCGAGCCGCACCACCCCUUACACACACACACACACACACACACACACACACACACACACACACACACACACUUUUUUUAAAAACUGCAUUUAUUUAUCGCCAACCUCUGGGCAAACCCAGGGAAACCUUCCAAAUCACAACUGUUUUUAGAAACCAGUUUUGGGUGUUUUUUUCAACUUUGCGAAACACCCGACUUUUGCUGCAGCCCACGAAGCUAACGUAAUUCCCUGCGGGGGUCUCUGCUUGACUCGUCUCCAACUUAAGUUGACGGCCCCCAUUUUUAACCCGCUGCCGCUCCUGGCUUUUUCUGCUUGCUGCCGUCCAGCCGCCGGUUACUUCCCUCCCCCGCUCCCAUUUUUCAUCUUUUCUUGAAAUCUGGCAAGCGCCGGGAAGGGAAAUAACUUCCAUCCACCUUAAUUUAAAUCAUUCGGAUGUGUAGGUCUCUUUUUAAAGGGAUGUUUGCUCGUUCCCCUCCCCAGCUCCAAGGGGGUUGGUGUGUGUGUGCGGAUUUCGUGCAGUUUCUUGGUGAUGAGGUAAUGAGUUCCAGAUUUCGGGACAGAACGGGGUGCGUUAAAACCACAAGAAAAAGGCGAUUCCUCGAAUUUCCUGCGCCUUCCCUGCUCCCCUGGGCCUCCCCUCCCCCCGUUCCUCGGGGCGCGGGCUCCGCGCUCCCGGGUUGUUUACCCGCCCCGCCGACCGCCCGGGUUUGUUCCUGCUCCCAGAGCCCGUCUCUAUAAUUAAACUCUUUUUUCUAAUUGUCGGGUUGCAACGUCAUUUAGGGGACUUUCCAGAGGGGGGGAGGGGGAGCGGGAGGGAGCGCUCCUUAACCCUUCCCUGACCCUGCGCCGGGGACGCACGGCCUGCGCGGAGGCCGGCGACACCCGCAGGUGGGCGGCAGGUACCGGGCAGCCCCAGCCGAGCGGCGAGGCUCCAGGGCCGUGAGCCCAGGCCUCCGUCCUGCGCGGCGGCCCUGCUGCCGCCGCCUCCACCUGCGCCGCCGCUUCCGCCGGGGGGGGGGGGGGGGCGCCGCUCUGCCGCCGACUUCCGGUUCGCGCGCCCGGGCCGCGCAGGUGACCCCUGUGAAAAGGUCAUUCGACUUCCCAAGUGGUUGUGACUCACCGGUUGAGAACUGCUCUUCUAGAGUGACAGAGGACACUGUAAAUGGAUGACUACAUUAAUAAUGGAGAUUCUGGCAAGAGAACAGGCAUGAGUGAGGUGGCCAGGAGGCCCUAAAUGACACUCGUCAGGCCACCGUCGCAGAACCUAGGAAGACAAGGAGGUCCCGUAGUACUCACUGCUGCUCCUGGGCACCCCAGCCCUGACACAGCCAAGCCCCAGGUGUGCCUGGCUAAACCCUGAUGCAGCCGUGCCUUCUGCUGGGCUUGCUGAGGAUGUAGCCAGGGCCCAACAGCGUUGGUGUUCCAGGAUGGGAAGUGAGCCUGAACUGGUAGGGACAGCCAGAUGGACUCCAGUCAAUUUGCCUUGGACAGCUGGGGAGCAGGGCUCAGGCCACUCCCCUGUCACUCCAGACAAGAGGGGUGCGGUUGCAACUUCUAGGAUUUCUCUGCUACCACACCCAUCAAGAAGUGCCACCUGCCUCCAUCAGUGCCCAGGCUGACCCUCAGAGCCUCCCAUAGAAGGGUCUGAAUUGCCCCCCAGUGGCCAGUAGCCUUGAGCGUCACAAUGCCCGCUGGCCAGCAGUGGGUCCCUGGGGUCCAGUGGAAAGCUGCCUGUCUUCUCAGCAGAUCGACCUAGAGGCAAGAACAGAACUAGCAUACAGUAGGAGGGGGUGUCAGAGGGUACCAGAGCCCCCCAAGAGACAGACCCCUCUGCUUCAAGUUCUCCCUUCCCUCCAACACGAACUCUGCAGACAGUAUCUCCCCAAAAGAGUACCACCCUAAGCUCCCGCCUCUUCUCUGAACCCUGUCAACUCUCACCAUCCACCCAAGUAAAGGAGCCUAGGCCCACACACUGAGCAGGAAAUGCCAUCUGUCCCCACCCCUGACCAGGGCCUGGCAGCUAGCAUUAGCCUGAUUGAGGGCUCCUCUUCCAGGGCAUCAGGGCUAAGGGGAACAUCUUCAGGCACCCAAGGCCUCUGGCACCAUGGCCCCUGCCUGCUGGUUGCAGUCCUCCAUGCCAGCUCUACUCAGACAGAUGAGCAGCAAUAAAUGUUGUACAGCCCCAGGAAAUCUGCAGGAGAAAGGAUGAGAUGGGGGGAAGAAAACAGAAGCUAAGAAAUGGGAGGGAUAAAUUCAAGAAACAGGAAAAUAAAUCAUUCAAGAACCCAGAUAGAUAAGGACGUCAGAGAAAAGCCGGGAAAUAGGCCAAGGCAGGUGGGGAAGGGACCUGAGAAUGAUUGAAAAAAAAAAAAGAGCAGUUAUCAAUAUUGUGAAAACAAGAAUAUAAAAGUGAAUGGGGUGGGGUCUAGGAAAGAAGCAGGGAAUUCUGAUCCUUAACCAAAUGCUCUCAGGAAUGUUCUUGGGGGUCUUACUGCUCUUAGGAGGGACUUCAGACUCUUCUGAACACUGAGCAGGGACAGUCCUAGGAAAGCCAACUUCUUCUCUUUGUUUUUCCUGCAGUUCUCCCAAGUCACUCCUACCCCUGGCCAUUUGUGAAGUGAGGGCUUGUCUUCCUACAGCAAGGCCAAAAAUCAGUGCGUUCAAUGUGGGACUUUGGCAGCUUCCAUCAUGGCACCCUGUGGAAGGUUCCAUGAUGCAUCUGAGCCGAGCCCCGUGCUAGACUUGGGAGUAUAAGGCUCCUGUCUGGGAGUUAGCACAGGCUAACCUAACCUACUGAAGGUAUGGAGGGCUGGCAUACCUUCUCAUCUCUUUGCAAAGUCAGGGGGAUCCCGGCAAUUGGAAACAACAGAACAGAGGAUUUAAAUUGAUUUCUCGACAUUCCAUAAAUAGAUCCCUACCUUUCUCCUUGCAAGGGUUGACAAACAGUUGUGGAAGUUUACUUUCAAUGCCUAUGUCUGGGGACCCCAGAGGGAUUCAGGAGUCACUGACGUGCUCCCUCUGGUGGCUGGGGCUCCAUCACUCCCUGUUGUCCCUCUUCUGUUGCUCUGCCACUGCCUCUUCUCCAGUUUCCUUAGUGACACACACCUGGCCACCCUCCUACCUCCUUAGGACACCAGAGCUGUGAGAAACCAGAAGCAGGACAGACAUGGUGAGCACGAAGGGCUUUGUUUCAGCCCCAGCAUUGCUGAGCCAGGCAUAUGGGCUGAACUCCUCGGAUAAAUAAAGAAGGCAGGGCCCAGGCUAGUCGUCCUAGAGUUCUGAAGUACUGGACCCUGAUUCUGUACAUGCCAAAUGUCACGCUUUCAUCUACCUCAAGCUGGAAGAUAUGACAAAAAGUACGGAAGGAAUAAUGUCUAGGCUAUGGCCUUACAGACUUAACUCAAUGUCUUCUUAUCCCUGCUAACCUCCAAACCUGUCACAGUCUUGGGAUCCCUGACUCAAGCUAUUACUUAAUCACAAAAAUAGACAAACCAGGAAAUCGGAGACCAGAUGACCUAAAUGUGUUAAUCUCCCAAGCAGUAUACAUAAACCUUACUCUCUGUUCUCAAGUUGUGAACACAACAAGGAAAAUACACAGCAACCACAGAUUUCAGCUUCUUUGAGAUUGGGCCUCAAAAGGCAACAGACCUGGUCAAAAGUCAAGUUGCCCAAUAGUUUCUUAAAUGACUCUAAACAUUGGGAAUCAUCAUAUUACAGGCUGUGUUCAAAUCCUGGUACUGCAACUUCCUGGGCAGGCAAGGGACCUACCUGCCCUCCCCUAGUCUCCUCCCUGAGAAUGACAGUAACCAUGACACCGAUCUCCUGGGGCUGCUGUAAGGACAAAUGAGCAAAGCCCUUGACACGAAGUUGAUGAGUGCGACACCAGCAGCCUCCAAGCAAGCCAGUCAACUUUUGUUGUGCUUUAAGCAAUAAGGAACUGACAAGGCCAAGGAGGAGGCUGGAAGCCCCACCAAGGAGGACUCCAUGGAGCCACUGGAGCAAAACCAAGUAUCCCAAGCAAGAGAGACAGUCGGGUCCCCAGAGAAGGCCCGGGCAGCUGGUAGGUGCAGCGCUAGAUGGGAAAGCCAGGGACACCUGCCCAAAGCCAGGGUGUCUGACAAGGUCGGGGGAUAGUCUCCUCUCAUUAACUCAGCACGGCUGCACCCCACUUUUGUGUGUGUUUAUGUUUGCAUGAAACCCAACAAUGCUGAAGUAGCACCACCCACUCUCAAGGGCUAUUAGGGAACUGCAGCUGGAGUGGGCUCAGAGUGGCAUUACUCUAGAGACCCACUAACCAGGCAUUUCUGCAUGGAUGCAGAACCUGGUCCUUCUGUGAGUGGCAUGAGUAAGAGGUCCUUGUACUUACGUUAUCUUUACUAUUAAUUGUUGCACUUAUUUUUAGGGGAGGGGUGUGUACAUGCUGUAGCACUCAUGGAGGUUCUGUCCUUCCACUGUGGGUCCUAAAGAUCAAACUCAGGUCAGCAGGCUGGGCGGCAAGUGACCCAUACUGACAUUCUUUUUACAGCAGAUUUUUUUUAUGUAGACUAGGAUCUAAUAUACAAGAUUUCUUUCAACAUCAAGAGUGGGGCUAGGGAUGUAGUGGAACAGCAGGUGCUUAGCAUGUGUGGGGCUUCCCCAUAUUUCAAAACAAAACCCCCAAAAAACAGCACAUGGAGAGGUGGCUGGGUUGUAGGUGAACAAGCGUGGCUGAUGCCGGAUAAUGGGCCCGUGUGUUUGUUUGUUUGUUUAAUAUAUCUGUCUCCUGUGUGUGUUUAAAAUUGUCCCAAAUAAAAUGUAUUAAGUUCA